rnacentral:rRNA from 1 species
AGGACGAACGCUGGCGGCGCGCUUAACACAUGCAAGUCGAGCGAGAACCAGUCCUUCGGGACUGGGGACAACGGCGAACGGGUGAGUAACACGUGGGUAAUCGACCCUUGGUACUGGGAUAGCCCGGGGAAACUCGGAUUAAUACCGGAUGGCCCAGCAGCUCUUCGGGGCGGCUGGAAAAGGUAGCUUCGGCCUCCGACCAAGGACGAGCCCGCGGCGGAUUAGCUUGUUGGCGGGGUAACGCCCACCAAGGCGACGAUCCGUAGCUGGUCUGAGAGGACGAUCAGCCACACUGGGACUGAGACACGGCCCAGACUCCUACGGGAGGCAGCAGUGGGGAAUCUUGCGCAAUGGGCGAAAGCCUGACGCAGCGACGCCGCGUGGGGGAAGAAGGCUUUCGGGUGUAAACCCCUUUCAGGAAGGACGAAGCUACUCGGGUUAAUAGCCCAGAGGGUGACGGUACUUCCAGAAGAAGCCCGGCUAACUACGUGCCAGCAGCCGC